rnacentral:lncRNA from 1 species
GAGCUCAGGCCUGCAGCAGAGGGAGUGCAGAUGUGGGGGAAGCUGACCCUGGAGUUAACAGGCUCAGACCUUAAAGGGGGUAGUCUCACAGCAGGUUCACACCCAGCACUUCAGAGUUUCAGCAAGUAAGGCAACUGCAAGACCCUCAUUCUGCCGGGAAGCUUCUGAUUAGGGCCCUAAACCACCAUCCUUUUCACAUCUGCAAGGACACUAGAGGCAACACCCAGGGUCACUCUGAGAGGGCCUGAACCUGCUUUAUUAACAGGAUCGAGGGUCAGAUACAACAAAGAGAGGACAAUACUGGCACUAGACUGAAAAGAUUCAUGGAACACAGUGGAAAGUCCAGAAAGAGAGCCACGUGACCGAAGUAAGUCGUGAUGCAGGAAAUGAGUGCGUUUCACAGCUUGCUGAGCCCCUACUCGACCCAGGAAGCCCAGCUGGCCCCUCCUCUCAACAGGAGUGAGAAUCAGACACAUGGAGGCAACCACUCAAGGCCACUCUGAGAAGGGUUGAACGUGCUUUAAAUUAAAAGGACUGAGGAUCAUGUGUGUUGGUGUGUCUUGGACUCUGCUCUAAGACUCAUGGAGGCAACCACUCAAGGUCACUCUGAGAAGGGUUGAACGUGCUUUAUUAAAAGGACUGAGGAUCAUGUGUGUUGGUGUGUCCCGGAGUCUGCUCUAAGGUAAAUAUGUGUGUGUGUGUGUUGGGGGGGCAGGGGUUGUGCCUGUAAUCCUGUGUGUGUGACCUCCUUAUUAGAGGAUUUUUGUUCAUUAAAGUAGGAGUGUGAAUU